rnacentral:rRNA from 1 species
AGUGGCGGACGGGUGAGUAACACGUGAGAAUUUACCUUUAGGAGGGGGAUAACAAUCGGAAACGAAUGCUAAUACCCCAUAUGCUUUUGAGUGAAAUGGAUUUAUUCGCCUAAAGAGAAGCUCGCGGCUGAUUAGCUUGUUGGUGAGGUGAAAGCUUACCAAGGCGACGAUCAGUAUCUGGUUUGAGAGGACGAUCAGACACACUGGAACUGAGACACGGUCCAGACUCCUACGGGAGGCAGCAGUGGGGAAUUUUCCGCAAUGGGCGAAAGCCUGACGGAGCAAUACCGCGUGAGGGAAGACUGCCUAUGGGUUGUAAACCUCUUUUUUCAGGGAGGAAAAAAAUGACGUGUACCUGAAGAAUAAGCAUCGGCUAACUCCGUGCCAGCAGCCGCGGUAAGACGGAGGAUGCAAGUGUUAUCCGGAAUCACUGGGCGUAAAGCGUCUGUAGGUGGUUUAAUAAGUCAACUGUUAAAUCUUGAGGCUCAACUUCAAAAUCGCAGUCGAAACUAUUAGACUCGAGUAUAGUAGAGGUAAAGGGAAUUUCCAGUGGAGCGGUGAAAUGCGUAGAUAUUGGAAAGAACACCGAUGGCGAAGGCACUUUACUGGGCUAUUACUAACACUCAGAGACGAAAGCUAGGGUAGCAAAUGGGAUUAGAUACCCCAGUAGUCCUAGCUGUAAACUAUGGAUACUAGA